GCCGGGGUAGCCAAGCGGUUACGGCGCUGGCCUCGAGAACUGGCAGGAAAGCCAGUGGUGCUUUGCACCUCGCGGGUUCAAAUCCUGCCCCCGGCG
rnacentral:tRNA from 1 species